CCUACGGGGGGCAGCAGUGAGGAAUAUUGGUCAAUGGGCGAGAGCCUGAACCAGCCAAGUCGCGUGAAGGAUGACGGCCCUACGGGUUGUAAACUUCUUUUGUCAGGGAGCAAAUAGGUCCUCGCGUGGGCUUAGCGAGAGUACCUGACGAAAAAGCAUCCGCAAACUCCGUGCCAGGCGCCGCGGUAAUACGGGGGAUGCGAGCGUUAUGCGGAUUUUUUGGGGUUAAAGGGUGCGUAGGCGGAUUAUCUAGUCAGCGGUAAAAAUUCGGGGCUAAACCCCGUCGUGCCGUUGAAACUGAUGUUCUUGAGUGGGCGAGAGGUAUGCGGAAUGCGUGGUGUAGCGGUGAAAUGCAUAGAUAUCACGCAGAACUCCGAUUGCGAAGGCAGCAUACCGGCGCCCAACUGACGCUGAGGCACGAAAGCGUGGGUAUCGAACAGGAUUAGAUACCCUUGUAGUC
rnacentral:rRNA from 1 species